GUCAGAUGAUUUGAGUUGAUAAGCUGAUCCCCUGUGAGGGAGGACAGCUAAUAGCCUGCUAGAAUUCUGAUGGCA